rnacentral:snoRNA from 1 species
ACGAUGAUGAGACCAUAGACUCUGCGUAUCUGACUGCUGGAUGAAACACAAUCUGCUGAAC